ACCUGAGUAGCUCAGUCAGUUAAGUGCCUGGCUUCAGCUCAGGUCAUGAUUUCGUGGUUUGUGGGUUCAAGCCCUGCCUCGGGUU
rnacentral:tRNA from 1 species